UUUUGUCAUGCUCCUUUCGCGCUCUCUCUUUCUCGCUCUGUGUGCUGUUCAAUAUCAGAACAACAACAAAAAGUCCGGAAUGUGAUGAUGAAUUCUUUCAACAAAAAGUCAAGAGAAUUAUGAAUCCAAUUCAAUUCAGAAAGUAGAAGAAUAAAGAAAGAACUUAUUAAAAAGA
rnacentral:ribozyme from 14 species